AUUCAGAUGAACGUAUUCCGUGGUCCUCCACCGCUGGAAGUAUUUCAAUAAAGAGGGGCUUGAGCAGGAGACCCUCCCCUAUGAUAUCCAUUGGACCUGUCACCUCCCAUGUCUGUUUUAGCAACUACUUGCAUUUCCCAUGUAAUAGAAACUCCAUGUUUUGCUAUUGCUUUAUUAUUCCUACUAGAAGGGGGGGGGGGGACAAACUUCAAACACAGGCAAAACUUUUCAAGAUCAGUUUAUGAAAUGUCACCUAGGCUCGUUAUAUAAGGCACCGUUACAUAAUUUUUACAAAAUAAAUUUGCACAUUUUCGCCCCUCCAAACAUGAAUUAACAGAAACUAUCUGGAGCUCGGCGAGAAAAUUCAUCCAAGCCGAGAAAUGGUGCUGUGACUGUGAAACGAGCGCUCGCACCCCGGAUAUAUUUAGCGUCAGGCAGUGAGAUGAGAAAGCAUUACAUAAAAGGCAGUGCACACGGCAACAUAUCAGAAGGCAGUGCACACGGUAACAUAUCAGAAGGCAGUGCACACGGCAACAUAUCAGGUCAGUGCACACGGUAGCAUAUCAGAAGGCAGUUUACACGGUAGCAUAUCAGAAGGCAGUGCACACGGUAGCAUAUCAGAAUGCAGUGCACACGGCAACAUAUCAGAAGGCAGUGCACACGGUAGCAUAUCAGAAGUCAGUGCACACGGUAACAUAUCAGAAGUCAGUGCACACGGUAACAUAUCAGAAGUCAGUGCACACGGUAGCAUAUCAGAAGGCAGAGCACACGGUAGCAUAUCAGGUCAGUGCACACGGUAGCAUAUCAGGUCAGUGCACACUGUAGCAUAUCAGAAGUCAGUGCACACGGUAGCAUAUCAGAAGGCAGUGCACACGGUAGCAUAUCAGGUCAGUGCACACGGUAGCAUAUCAGGUCAGUGCACACUGUAGCAUAUCAGGUCAGUGCACACGGUAGCAUAUCAGGUCAGUGCACACAGUAGCAUAUCAGGUCAGUGCACACGGUAGCAUAUCAGGUCAGUGCACAUGGUAACAUAUCAGGUCAGUGUACACGGUAACAUAUCAGGUCAGUGCACACGGUAGCAUAUCAGGUCAGUGUACACGGUAACAUAUCAGAAGUCAGUGCACACGGUAGCAUAUCAGGUCAGUGCACACGGUAGCAUAUCAGGUCAGUGCACACGGUAGCAUAUCAGAAGUCAGUGCACACGGUAGCAUAUCAGAAGUCAGUGCACACGGUAGCAUAUCAGGUCAGUGCACACGGUAGCAUAUCAGGUCAGUGCACACGGUAGCAUAUCAGAAGUCAGUGCACACGGUAACAUAUCCCAGGUCCGAUGUGUUUUUAUGUGUUGCAGGCACCAGAUGGGAUCGCCCUGUGCAGACUGUGCUCUCUAUAUAAAGCACAAUUCUAGGAGUCAGAAUGUCGGCACUUUUGGGCACUUUUAGGCCACCUUCACACGUUGCGGAAUAUGUACAGUUUA